AUGACAUGCAUAUACAAACAUGUCACGAUAGUAUUACGAUUUUACAAAAGGGUUGAUGUCGCCACAUAUGUCCAUUGUUUGGACGGAGAGAACGAAGGCCGCCGUGUACAAUGCCGCCGCGUGAAUUUGUCUGGCUCGUUCCAACGCGCCAUCGACCGGCGGCAGCUCAACGGCUCUUGGCGUGUGCAUGCAAUGCACAUAUAUAUAUGCACGCCCGGUGUUGGUUCUUCUCCAGGAUCAUCCUAUCCUAUCCUAAUCAAUUUCACUCCCAGGACUCUGAGCUGCAUCCAGUUAUACACCCAUGGCUUGGUCACUGCCUGCGGCUACGGGUAA
rnacentral:rRNA from 1 species